CCUACGGGAGGCAGCAGUGAGGAAUAUUCGUCAAUGGACGAGAGUCUGAACCAGCCAAGUAGCGUGAAGGAUGACUGCCCUAUGGGUUGUAAACUUCUUUUAUAUGGGAAUAAAAUUGUCCACGUGUGGGAUUUUGUAUGUACCAUAUGCAUAAGGAUCGGCUAACGCAGUGCCAUCCGCCGCGGUAAUACGGGGGAUCCGAUCGUUAUCCGGUGUUAUUGGGUGUAAAGGGAGCGUAGGUGGAUUGUUAAGUCAGUUGUGAAAGUUUGCGGCUUAACCGUAAAAUUGCAGUUGAGACUGGCAGUCUUGAGUACAGUAGAGGUAGGCGGAAUUCGUGGUGUAGCGGUGAAAUGCUUAGAUAUAACGAAGAACACCGAUUGCGAAGGCAGCUUACUGGACCGCAACUGACACUGAGGCUCGAAAGUGUGGGUAUCAAACAGGAUUAGAUACCCGGGUAGUC
rnacentral:rRNA from 1 species